GCAAGUCGAACGGGUAUGCCUCUGAAGCUUCGGUGGAUGAGGAAUUACAUACUAGUGGCAAACGGGUGAGUAACACUUUGGUAAUCUGCCCUAAAGCGGGGAAUAAGCUGAAGAAAUUCAGUCUAAUACCCCAUGUGCUUAUGAAAUUAUUUUUCAUAAGUAAAGGUAUUUCGCUUUAGGAGGAGCCUAAGUCCUAUCAGCUUGUUGGUGUGGUAAAAGCGCACCAAGGCUAUGACGGGUAGCUGGUUUGAGAAGACGACC
rnacentral:rRNA from 1 species